CCUACGGGAGGCAGCAGUAGGGAAUAUUGCUCAAUGGGGGAAACCCUGAAGCAGCAACGCCGCGUGGAGGAUGAAGGUUUUCGGAUUGUAAACUCCUUUUGUUAGAGAAGAUAAUGACGGUAUCUAACGAAUAAGCACCGGCUAACUCCGUGCCAGCAGCCGCGGUAAUACGGAGGGUGCAAGCGUUACUCGGAAUCACUGGGCGUAAAGAGCGCGUAGGCGGGAUAGCAAGUCAGAUGUGAAAUCCUAUGGCUUAACCAUAGAACUGCAUUUGAAACUGUUAUUCUAGAGUAUGGGAGAGGUAGGUGGAAUUCUUGGUGUAGGGGUAAAAUGCGUAGAGAUUAAGAGGAAGACUCAUUGCGAAGGCGACCUGCUAGAACAUAACUGACGCUGAUGCGCGAAAGCGUGGGGAGCAAACAGGAUUAGAUACCCCAGUAGUC
rnacentral:rRNA from 1 species